CCUACGGGUGGCAGCAGUGGGGAAUAUUGCGCAAUGGGCGAAAGCCUGACGCAGCGACGCCGCGUGAGGGAUGAAGGUCUUCGGAUCGUAAACCUCUGUCAGCAGGGAAGAACGGUCACUGUGCUAAUCAGCAGUGCAUUGACGGUACCUGCACAGGAAGCACCGGCUAACUCCGUGCCAGCAGCCGCGGUAAUACGGAGGGUGCGAGCGUUAAUCGGAAUUACUGGGCGUAAAGCGCUCGUAGGCGGUGUGUCAAGUCGGGGGUGAAAUCCCCGGGCUCCACGUGGGAAGGGCAUUUGAAACGGGAGAACUGGUGGGCAGAAGCGGAGAGUGGAAUUCCAUGUGUCACGGUGACAUGCGUAGAUAUAUGACGUAACACCAGUGGCGAGGGCGACUCUCUGGGCUGUAACUGACGCUGAGGCUCGCAAGCGUGGGUAGCAUACAGGAUUAGAUACCCUUGUAGUC
rnacentral:rRNA from 1 species